UCAGGGUUUGUUCCAAAUGUGAGAGGUGCUGCUCCAUGUCGGGGAUGUAUACUAAUAUAGUAAUAUGUCAUCGAAAAAUACUAGUGUAAAACAACAAAGAUAGGGGCGAAAUAAGUCGUUCAUGACAGCCUGAAAUGUAAAGGGAGUGUGUGUUAGGCCGAAUGGCAUAGCCUUGAACUCAGUGUGCCCAGAAUGACUGUGAAAGGCUUUUUUUGGUAUGUCCGUGUCGUGUACCCUGAUAUGUAAAUUUAACUUUGAAUACACCGUGUGCCAGACAACUCAUCUAACAGUUCAUCAAUAUUUGGGAGUGUUACUUAUUGGCUAUAGUAACCUUGUUUAGAGCCCUGUAAUCCACACACAUCAAGUAUUACCCUUCUUGACCAACAAAAUCUGGCAUGAAAAUUGAUCAUUGUUUGAUCGAAUAGAGCCUGCUACUAACAAUUCUUCCACUUGUUUCUCUAUUUCAGCCUUUUGAGAGUGGGGGUAUUGAUAUGAACGUAUUUGGGAGGCGUCGAGUUUGAAAGUAGGGGAAUUGAGUGGUUUUGUGGAUGCUAUGGGGAAAGAUUUUUCAGCUCUUCAAAAACGUGGUUAUGGUGUUUUAUAACAGGUCGUAAUAGGGUUGGAAUUUCGGGAUUACUGCCCGGUCGAACAGCUAAAUGUUGAAAAUUUGAUGACUUUAGGGUCCCCGUUAUAAUACUCUAGAGUUUGUACGUUUGCCAUUGAAUUCCCAAUACCAAAUAUGAACCACCCACUGAAAAUGGAUAAAAGUUCUGGAUUCCCAAUACCAAAUCUGCCCGGUCGAACAGCCACUAAAUUCCCAAUACCAAAUCUGCACCACCCACUGAAAAAGGAUAAAAGUUCUGAACAUCUUUGAGGCAUUGAUUUGAAGUGUGAGUCCCUAUUUGAACACCAAAAGGUGUCAUUGCUUGGGUAUCAAGUUUCAUUCAUUUGCCAAUACAUCUGAGGUGAAAUUGUGGAUCUCCGAUCAACUAAAACUAGUAACUCAGUAGAUUCCAAUAUACCUUGAACUAUCAUAACUAUAAGGUUUACCAAAAAUCGCAUGUAAGCUGAUCUAGGCAACAUUGCUAUUAUCUCCCUCUGUCUGAUCGGCCUCAUUAAAGGGCUUCUCAUCGAAGUCUCCGCUACUUCCGGCACCUUUAGAGUGCCUGUUUUACACCUAUGACCUGGUCCGUAUGUCCCCACACAGGUAACACUCACCCCUGAGCAGCAGGACUUUUUUCUGCAUCAGAAAUUCGUUGGGGUUUUUUGAAGUUGGUGGAUGGGGCUGGUGUAUAAGUUGAAGAUUUGGGGUCGGUUGUUUUGAGUUUGAAGGUGCUGUCCAGGUUGGCCCAAAUUACAAAGCAAACUCACCCUCUGUAUACCGUUCUCGGUUUCUGAAUUCUUACAUCCGCUUUCAGUUCUUCUUUGAGGCCAUUGAGGAACACCCCUAGGAAACAAUGUCCAGGCCAAUUAGAAACCCAGGAAGAACGUGUAGCGAUUUCUUGUCGGUACUCUUGUACCAUUCCUAGGCUGUACAAAUGUUCAUCUGAGUUUUGAAUCUCCGCAGGCCCAAAAAUUUUCUUUAGGGCACGAAUUAUUUUAUCCCAAUACCGUUUCGGUUGGUCAGUGGAAAGCCAGGGAUACAAAUCUAGUGUGUCUCCUUCCAAGUGCAUUCACGCAACAUCUACCUUCUUUUCUUCCGAUAUAUUGUAGUGAAGGAAAUACUUCUCAGCCUUAAGGACGCAACCUUGAGGGUAUCCAUCACGGCAUCACUAAAUGUGGGAAAAUCAAUUUCGUUUUAGGGGCGGUACCUAUGAGGAUGUCAGAAUGAUUCACCCUCGUCUUGCUUUUUGAAAUUGCUAUCUAAUCAGUUCUUAUGGUGCGAUUGUGUUUUGGGAGCCACAACAUCUCUCUGUAGUUUAUUUAAUUUUUUAGCUAUGGUGGCCAACUAUGUUGCAAUUGGGUCUGGUGGGUUACUGCCUUCAUCUGAAUCGGGUCUGUAGCAUGCUUUCAAAUUUCUUGGCAAUGGAACCAAUGAUAAAUAGUAUUAAAGAUCAUAAGGAUAAGCGGGAAAGUGAUUCAAAGUUUGAUGAAAGAAAAGCCAAAUUCGAGAUGGCAUGUCUCCAUUAUAAUGUUAUUACAUGAAAGAAAAAUACUUGAAUAACCAAACUAAAACGUAGGCCUGCUAAUAUAAUAAAACUGAAGUUAACUGCCCCUAAUCUGAAGGAUCUGAACUGCUUCUUUCGCUUCAAGUUGCCCAAUAGUUUGCUCACCCAAUGGGUCCACCCAGAAUCCAGAAAUAGCAUUAAAUUGCUCCUGAUUCUCAUCAGCUGCUUUGACUCGUCUUUUUUUUUGUGUAAACCUUGAGGUUUGUAUCAGUUUCCAUGUACGAGUGGAAAAGAUCAUGAAGUAUGAUUUUCAAAGUUAUAAUUUUAUCCUGCCAAGAGGCUCUUCCGAAUUUGUGAAGAGGUAGGGUUAUUUGAUUAUGGUGUUUGCAAACCGCGAAUAGUCAGAAACUAGUGUUUGACAAAUCAUUUGGAAAUCUGCUUAUUUGCACACAAAAAAAAAAAAAAUCAGAGAGAGAACAUGUUUCUGAACAAGUAGGUUGACCUGCCUUUUGAAUCUGCCGUUUUGCAAGCGCAAUUUAAAGUCACUAAGUUAGUAAUAAAACUGCGUGUUUACCGCUUGGUUUAAAAUGUAUCAUUGUGAUUAUAUUAUGAGUUAUUGAUAAAGUUAGGGCAAAUGUACAAUUUGAUGAUCAGUUUUGCUGCAGCUAGUAUCAAACUUAUCAGUAAAAACCGAUUAUUUGACUUUCAUAUUGGCAUAUUCUUACUGGGAACUGAGUAUUGUAACUUAAGGUCUCGAUACUUAGAUACUUGCAUUCAUAGUGUACAUCCAAUAAACCCGAAAAUCCAGCUGUUUGUAAUUCCUACUGUGUUUCUUAAUUGAAGCCACUGAUAACCGGCUGCUUUUUGUUGGUAGACUCAAUGGUUAAUACAGGUCAAGAUGGUGGUAAACGAAUGGGACUUAAUUUCAAACAUGUGAAUUGGUGCACAACCCUCAGAUCCAGUGCAACAUCUUCUAUUCAGGGCAGGGUUGCUACCACCACCACCACCCAUGGUUGCAAUGGGAUGAAAAGGUGGGCCUUGGACACACAUCCGGUUGACUCCUUGGGUGGACGUGUCAUGAUGCCUGAACACUCUACUAAAGCUAGUAACGUAUCCGUGGAUGAACCACCAUGAAUGACGUAAACAUCAGUCUUGGGGAUCUGCUAGUUUUAAGUUCUGGAGUUGGUCUUUUUGGUAAAGUUUAGAACUACUUGGCAUAAUUUCCAGUGAUAAUGAAAAUUACAUCACUAGAAGUUCAUCAGUUGUUUGUCAUUUGAUGUAGCAAAUUUAUGUUAUGGUUUGGUAAAUCUUUGAUGCUAGUGUGUUGUGUUAGCGAAUGGCCUCGGAGGCUUGCUAAAUGCCAAUAUGUGUGUCAAAGUUCUUCCUAAGCAUGCUAUCAUCAUUCACUGCCCUGAAUGUGAUUGCUACUUGCAGCUACCUAGAACUUGGCAUAAAGCUCAAAUUGAUUUUGAAAUAAGCAAGGUUGAUUCAUGCAGUGUUUAUCUGGAUGGAACCUCACUCUAAAAGGAUUAAAGUCAAGCUGGGAGUUGGAAAAGAGGUUAUGAAUGGUGCGGUUCUUGAGCAAAGCUUAUAUGGUUAAGUCUGCGAUUCAGGAUCAAAUAUGUGAGUCGUCAUCUUGAGUUCAAGCCAACCCUGAUCAGUAGGUGGCUGCUGCUAACACGACACUUUACCCACAGGCAGACUUUCUUCUAUUCAGAACAACCUGUUCUUAAACAUGAUGCUAUUGUUAGAGUCAUAAGAAUUAACAAAUGGAUCUUCGGAUCGAUUUCUUUUUCUCUUGCAUUAGUCAUGCAGUUAAUUUGGUGGAGUUCAUGCAUAAAGUUUUCCCGAUAAAGAGCCGUAGACUGUAGUGUGUAGCGACAAGCAACUUGUAUCACUUGGUUCUAGAAAAAAUAGCUAUAACUACAAUUAAACCCUUUCCGUUGAAAUUUGCUUUGCCUAAUUUGUCAUGAAGAUUUUAUU